AAAUGAAGUCCAUAAGCUGUUGCAGUACCGACCAGAACCACUGGGUGUAAAUUGAUCUGUCUGCAGACGCUGGAUAAUCAUCAAGGUGUGACAGCUGCAUUAAUUUAUUAAACGUACGACAGCAUGCACCAGAGU